GGGAAUAUAGCUCAGUGGUAGAGCUUGUGCUUGCCCUGCACAAGAUCCUGGGUUCAAUCCCCAGUGCCUCCA
rnacentral:tRNA from 1 species